rnacentral:tRNA from 1 species
GGCGGUUAGCUCAGUGGUAGAGCGCCUGCCUUACAAGCAGGUGGUCACUGGUUCAAAUCCAGUACCGCCCAAUCAA